CAGGCUUUAAUACAUGCAGGUCGAACGGCAAGUUGAAUAGCAAUAUUUGACGUAGAGUGACGUACGGGUGCGUAACACGUAUGCAACUACCCAAAACUGGAGGAUAGCUCGGGGAAACUCGAAUUAACCCUCCAUAAGAUCAUAGAGUAGCAUUACUUAGUGAUUAAAACUCCGGUGGUUUUGGAUGGGCAUGCGUCUGAUUAGUUAGUUGGCGGGGUAACGGCCCACCAAGACGAUGAUCAGUAGGGGAACUGAGAGGUUGAUCCCCCACACUGGCACUGAGAUACGGGCCAGACUCCUACGGGAGGCAGCAGUAGGGAAUAUUGGUCAAUGGGUGCAAGCCUGAACCAGCCAUGCCGCGUGCAGGAAGAAGGCGUUAUGCGUUGUAAACUGCUUUUGCCAGGGGAUAAAAUUUCCUUGCGAGGAACAUUGAAGGUACCUGGUGAAUAAGCCACGGCUAACUACGUGCCAGCAGCCGCGGUAAUACGUAGGUGGCAAGCGUUGUCCGGAUUUAUUGGGUUUAAAGGGUGCGUAGGCGGCCCUGUAAGUCAGUGGUGAAAUACUCUAGCUUAACUAGAGGGGUGCCAUUGAUACUGCAGGGCUUGAGUGGAGUCGAAGUAGGCGGAAUUGACGGUGUAGCGGUGAAAUGCUUAGAUAUCGUCAAGAACACCGAUAGUGAAGACAGUUUACUAGGCUUCUACUGACGCUGAGGCACGAAAGUGUGGGGAUCAACCAGGAUUAGAUACCCUGGUAGUCCACACUGUAAACGUUGAUUACUCGCUGUUGGCGAUACACAGCCAGCGGCCAAGCGCAAGCGAUAAGUAAUCCACCUGGGGAGUACGCCGGCAACGGUGAAACUCAAAAGAAUUGACGG
rnacentral:rRNA from 1 species